UAUUAGACUGAUUAGAACCCAGUAACUUUAAAGGCCCUGACGCACCAAGCCGACGGUUUUGUAUCCUAAUUAAAUAACGCAUGUGAUCCGUUACUCCCCAAGCCUGCGCACUAGGUACGCCUCUAGCGUCAGUUUUGGACGUGUCAGGGACGGCGUGUCAAUAUAGACUUGUCAUGACGUGAAUAGUGUCAUUUCAAAAUAAACUUCCAUCUUUACAAGUUAGGUUAAGGCAACAAAACUACUUAGUUCGGGUUAGGAAAAGAUUGUGGUUGACAUUAACAUGACUGACUACCGAUUCACGUGACUAAUUGCGGACAAAGUAAGUCAAUAUCGACUUUUAGUUUCACUCGGGACAUGAACAGCGGUCCCCUGAGUGAAAGUCCUGUAUUUUACCCAUGCAACUCUCCAUGUGGUCUGCUACUACUACUGCUACAUGUGGACUAUCUGUAGUAUUUACUAAGCCUCUUAUACUGGAUGGGGUCACAAGGGGCUGGAGGCUGUUUCAACACCAUAUGCAUGUGGAUCUUCUACUGUUUGAUGCUGCUGAAUCCUCUGAGGUAACCGGGAAGUGUGAUUAAAUCAACUCCAGUACACUGGAGGGCAGGCUGCCGCCAGAGGACCAGGAGUGCCACACGUGUGUCUAGACCAAGUGCGCCUCCUGCAGGGAGGUCAGAGCAGUGUAUCUGGCUGAGGAGGAGGAGGAGGAAGAAGAGGAGGAGGAGGCGUGGGAUGCUGCUCUUCUCUUCAGCUCUCUGGAGAUCUGGAGCCAAGAUAGCGGAUAGCAGCAGCACCCGUACAGGCAGUCGCUCCACACACUCCCCUGUAAGACGCACGGAGAGAGAGAGGCCUGAACACAGGUGGGAGGCUUGAACAAAAGACGCCCUCAUGGCGAGAGAGGCCGGCGAUACGCAGCCGAUACAGUCCAGCAGAGGCAGGCAGGGACAGGCGCCCACUGCACUGGUCACCUUACAGCACUCACACAGGCCAGUACUCCAUUGACCAUUGAACUCCUGAAUCCUGCUCUCCGGCUGGACCUGGACCACCUGUUGAUACAUUGCUGAGCUGGACAUCUAUAAGUCCAUGAAGGAGAGGAAAGGUCCAGUGGAGUGAAUCCCACCCCUAUCAAAUGAAACCGGUCUCCUCUUCCAUCAGGGCUGCAGCUGACACCGAUGAUCAUACGGAGGAUUAACGAAGGUGACAUUCAUGGUGGGUGAGAAUCCACCAAAAAAUACAGAACCUGAUGAUUCACAGUCAAAACUGACAACGACAAUUUAUUUUCUACAGUAUACUGUAUGUAGGAGGAGAUAAAAGAAAGGAGGAAAUCAAGUAAAUUAUAGGGAAUUUAUAAUA